rnacentral:lncRNA from 1 species
UGAUAGAUACCUCUUCUUUUCAUAUUGUCUAUUGUAGGUAGUUUAUUGAGAAGGGCCUGCCAUGUACAUAAGGAAUGUCUUUGUGAUCCCGGUCGAUCCCAUGUCCAACUGCUUGGGACCCACUUGUUAUUUCUUUGCCUAAUUUGAUUCCAUGCGGAUGUGGUACUAAAUUUACCAUUGUCAUGAGGCCAACUAAGUAUAUCUGAAGAGUUGUUCCUGAUUGGAAUAGCUAUGAUAGUCGGCCAAAGUGAUAACAUUUCAGGAGAAAUAGGAUUAGGGAGACAACAGGUACCGUUAGCAAUGAACUCGGAAACCUUCCAAUCUUUAGGAGCCCCAAGAUCUUUUCGUAUUCUGUCG